CAGACUUAUGAAUACAGAUACCGGGCUCAACCGAGGAAUUCAUCAAAUUGCUUCAACAUUGAAUUGGGGACCCGACCCUCGUCAUAGUGCAGGAAGACUAACUCAUAAAGCCUUACAGUCAACUCAUGGUGAUUGGCAUAUAUGGCAUGUUUUCUCACUAGAGUGGACAGAACAACAUGUCAUUUGCUUGGUUGAUGACCAAGAAAUACUACGUGUGAACACGCCCUCUGAAGGUUUCUGGAAGUUUGGAUAUUUUAAUGGAAACAAGCAUCUGGGGAAAUUCUCUGAACGCUCCUUUUGAUCAACCAUUCCAGCUCCUGUUGAAUGUGGCCGUGGGAGGCACGAAGUAUUUCGGCGAUAAUUUACACUAUGACACACCUAAACCCUGGCGCAACGACUCCCCACACCCCAUGAGGGACUUCUGGGAGAAAAGGAAUGUUUUGCUUCCAACCUGGCAUGGCGAUAAUAUUGCUUUUCUUAUUGAUUAUGUAGAAAUGAUUCAAUAUUAAAAUGAUUAAAA